UUAAAUAGCCGCAGUAUUUUGACUGUGCGAAGGUAGCAUAAUCAUUUGUCUUUUAAUUGAAGGCUUGUAUGAAUGGUUUCAUGAGAAAAUGACUUUCUUUAUAUUAGUAAAUUGAAUUUAAUUUUUUAGUUAAAAAGCUAAAAUUUUUAAGUGGGACGAGAAGACCCUAUAGAAUUUUACUAUUAAUAAAAUAAAUUUUUCUUUAUUGUUAUUAAUGAAUAUUAAUUUAUUAAUAGUUUUGUUGGGGUGACAUUAGGAUUAUUUAAACUCCUAUAUAUUAUAUAUUUAAUAAUUUUUAUAUUUAUGAUCCUAUAUUAAGGAUUACUAGAUUAAAUUACCUUAGGGAUAACAGCGUAAUUUUUUUGGAGAGUUCUUAUCGAUAGAAAAGUUUGCGACCUCGAUGUUGGAUUAAAAUUAAAUUUAAGUGCAGUAGCUUAAUUUCUAGGUCUGUUCGACCUUUAAAAUUUUACAUGAUCUGAGUUCAAACCGGAUUAAA
rnacentral:rRNA from 1 species